rnacentral:rRNA from 1 species
CACCGCGGUUAUACGAGCGGCCCAAGCUGAUAGCCUUCGGCGUAAAGGGUGGUUAAGAAACUUAUAAAACUAAAGUCAAAUACCCUUAAAAUUGUAUAAAGUACUCAAGGGCAAGAGGAACACCGACGAAAGUGACUUUAUUUAACUGAAACCACGAAAGCUAUGAAA